rnacentral:rRNA from 2 species
UACAGAGGGUGCAAGCGUUAAUCGGAAUUACUGGGCGUAAAGCGCGCGUAGGUGGUUCAGUAAGAUGGAAGUGAAAUCCCCGGGCUUAACCUGGGAACUGCUUUCAUAACUGCUGAGCUAGAGUACGGUAGAGGGUAGUGGAAUUUCCUGUGUAGCGGUGAAAUGCGUAGAUAUAGGAAGGAACACCAGUGGCGAAGGCGACUACCUGGACUGAUACUGACACUGAGGUGCGAAAGCGUGGGGAGCAAACAGG